rnacentral:rRNA from 1 species
UGGGGAAUUUUGGACAAUGGGGGAAACCCUGAUCCAGCCAUCCCGCGUGUGCGAUGAAGGCCUUCGGGUUGUAAAGCACUUUUGGCAGGAAAGAAACGUCGCGGGUUAAUACCCCGCGGAACUGACGGUACCUGCAGAAUAAGCACCGGCCAACUACGUGCCAGCAGCCGCGGUAAUACGUAGGGUGCAAGCGUUAAUCGGAAUUACUGGGCGUAAAGCGUGCGCAGGCGGUUCGGAAAGAAAGAUGUGAAAUCCCAGAGCUUAACUUUGGAACUGCAUUUUUAACUACCGGGCUAGAGUGUGUCAGAGGGAGGUGGAAUUCCGCGUGUAGCAGUGAAAUGCGUAGAUAUGCGGAGGAACACCGAUGGCGAAGGCAGCCUCCUGGGAUAACACUGACGCUCAUGCACGAAAGCGUGGGGAGCAAACAGGAUUAGAUACCCUGGUAGUCCACGCCCUAAACGAUGUCAACUAGCUGUUGGGGUCUUCGGACCUUGGUAGCGCAGCUAACGCGUGAAGUUGACCGCCUGGGGAGUACGGUCGCAAGAUUAAAACUUAAAUGAAUUGAC